rnacentral:rRNA from 1 species
UGGGGAAUUUUGGACAAUGGGCGCAAGCCUGAUCCAGCCAUACCGCGUGAGUGAAGAAGGCCUUCGGGUUGUAAAGCUCUUUCAGACGGAAAGAAACGGUUACGGCUAAUACCCGUGACUAAUGACGGUACCGUAAGAAGAAGCACCGGCUAACUACGUGCCAGCAGCCGCGGUAAUACGUAGGGUGCGAGCGUUAAUCGGAAUUACUGGGCGUAAAGCGUGCGCAGGCGGUUUGGUAAGACAGAUGUGAAAUCCCCGGGCUUAACCUGGGAACUGCAUUUGUGACUGCCAGACUAGAGUGUAGCAGAGGGGGGUAGAAUUCCACGUGUAGCAGUGAAAUGCGUAGAUAUGUGGAGGAAUACCGAUGGCGAAGGCAGCCCCCUGGGCUAACACUGACGCUCAUGCACGAAAGCGUGGGGAGCAAACAGGAUUAGAUACCCCUGUAGUCCCUGAGCGGGCUGGCAAGGCGCAU